CGCGUUUUCCUCUGGGGACAGGGCGAUCCCCGCCCUCUGGAGGUGCAGAUCAGUUUGCCCACGCUUUGCGACGAUAGGAAAAAAACAGGGACGAUGGGCACCAGAAAGGGAGGCCUCAGGGUCCAGCCUGCUGCAUAUCUGGUCCCCCGGGAGGGACUGUGAGUCUCCCUGCCCCGCCCCUUUUUCCUGCAGUUGCGGCGAGGGUGCCUCGAUGGAACCAAACCUGUUCAGGAAAUCUAAGAACUCGAGCGCAGUCCCGUGUGUAGACGAGAGCUGAGGGAGCCGCGAAGAAGGCUGAGAACAGCUACUCGCGGUCAAGGUCAUGGCGGGGGCAAGGUCACGGGCUCCCCUCUCUGCCCUGCACCCCGCCAGGUUACACAAACCAGCUGGCCCGGGUCUGUGUGGGAGGCGGAAGCUCGUGAGGGUGAAGGCUGCUGUGUGAGGCUAGUGAGGACAGGCCCUGCUGCCAGCGCGAAUCACGUCCAUCACUGCUCUCCUGAACAGAUUUGAUUUCACUGCAUCACAGCGCCAGCCCCAGGACUUUGCCCUGGAAAUGAGGAGCAGAUCUGCUGGAUUUCUUCUGAAGACCUCAUUUCUUGCUUUCUCUUUGGACACUAUCAAUGCUGUUGCACACAGAGCUCCCUAACAAGCCCACGGGGUCAGAGCACUGUAUACUAAUUCACAUGGGCCUUAUCUUAUUUUUCUUACUCUUAUUUUCCUUCCACACCA
ensembl:lncRNA